CCUACGGGUGGCAGCAGUGAGGAAUAUUGGUCAAUGGACGCAAGUCUGAACCAGCCAUGCCGCGUGCAGGAUGACGGCUCUAUGAGUUGUAAACUGCUUUUGUACGAGGGUAAACCCCGAUACGUGUAUCUGUUUGAAAGUAUCGUACGAAUAAGGAUCGGCUAACUCCGUGCCAGCAGCCGCGGUAAUACGGAGGAUCCGGGCGUUAUCCGGAUUUAUUGGGUUUAAAGGGUGCGUAGGCGGUCGGAUAAGUUAGAGGUGAAAUCCCGGGGCUCAACCUCGGAACUGCCUCUGAUACUGUUGGGCUAGAGAGUAGUUGCGGUAGGCGGAAUGUAUGGUGUAGCGGUGAAAUGCUUAGAGAUCAUACAGAACACCGAUUGCGAAGGCAGCUUACCAAGCUACUUCUGACGUUGAGGCACGAAAGCGUGGGUAGCAAACAGGAUUAGAUACCCGAGUAGUC
rnacentral:rRNA from 1 species